rnacentral:rRNA from 1 species
CCUACGGGGGGCUGCAGUAGGGAAUCUUCGGCAAUGGACGGAAGUCUGACCGAGCAACGCCGCGUGAGUGAAGAAGGUUUUCGGAUCGUAAAGCUCUGUUGUAAGAGAAGAACGAGUGUGAGAGUGGAAAGUUCACACUGUGACGGUAUCUUACCAGAAAGGGACGGCUAACUACGUGCCAGCAGCCGCGGUAAUACGUAGGUCCCGAGCGUUGUCCGGAUUUAUUGGGCGUAAAGCGAGCGCAGGCGGUUAGAUAAGUCUGAAGUUAAAGGCUGUGGCUUAACCAUAGUACGCUUUGGAAACUGUUUAACUUGAGUGCAAGAGGGGAGAGUGGAAUUCCAUGUGUAGCGGUGAAAUGCGUAGAUAUAUGGAGGAACACCGGUGGCGAAAGCGGCUCUCUGGCUUGUAACUGACGCUGAGGCUCGAAAGCGUGGGGAGCAAACAGGAUUAGAUACCCCAGUAGUC